UACACCGUAAAUCUAUACGGAUGCCCUUCGACUGCUCGCCAAAGUCCUUUUUGCCCUGGUCGGUAGGUCUCUAGACGUUACAGAGAACCCCGAACAACCCAAACUGUUAAUCUUCGAUACCGCUUUGUACUUACGAUCUUGUAUCCACUAACUAUCUUGUUAGAUUAAUCCAAUAAAUUUCAUUCACUCCACAUACUCAAUCCUAUAGACACCCUUUUAAUUCUUCAAUCACAGAUGUAACUCGAUUUCACAAAACAGUCAAGAGUAUUCAAAUCCACUUCAUUAAAAAUCCCGAUUCACCAUUACAACACUGACUUCAGCAACGAUUGCCUCAGUCU
rnacentral:lncRNA from 1 species